AUUGAACGCUGGCGGCAGGCCUAACACAUGCAAGUCGAGCGGAGCGGCGGACGGGUGGGUGAUGCCUAGGAAUCUGCCUGGUCGUGGGGGAUGACGUCCGGAAACGGGCGCUAAUACAGCAUACUAUCAGAUGAGGCUAGGUCGGAUGAGCUAGUUGGUGGGGUAAGGGCCUACCAAGGCGAAGGUCCGUAACUGGUCUGAGAGGAGGAUGAGUCACACGGGAACUGAGACACGGGCCAGACUCCUAAGUGAGGCAGCAGUGGGGAGUAUUGGACAAUGGGCGAAAGCCUGAUGCAGCCAUGCCGGGUGUGUGAAGAAGGUCUUCGGAUUGUAAAGUACUUUAAGUUGGGAGGCGUUACCAGCAGAAUAAGCACCGGCUAACUUCGUGCCAGCAGCCGCGGUAAUAC
rnacentral:rRNA from 1 species